UGGAUCGUGCCUGUAACAAAAGCUGGAGCUUAUUGGAAUUUAUUUUCGAAUUCGAUUGAAAUACCUUUAGGAUUUCUACAGACUCCAACUUAUUCCCCAAAGUAUUUAAGGUCCAUGAUGUUUGGUGCUAUUGGAUCUAUCAUCGGCCACGAGCUAGUUCACGGUCUUGAUGCGGAUCCUAUGUUCAACGUUACAUGGAAAGAAGAGGAACUCAGAAAACUGACACAUUUGUCCGAGUGCUUUAAGGACCAGUACAGAAAGUUUUCAUACAAGGGA
rnacentral:sRNA from 1 species